ensembl:lncRNA
CAGCUGCUGCAGGAGUGGUGGUGGUGACAGCUGCUGCAGGAGUGGUGGUGGUGACAGCUGCUGCAGGAGUGGUGGUAGUGACAGCUGCUGCAGGACUGGUGUUAGUGACAGCUGCUGCAGGAGUGGUGGUAGUGACAGCUGCUGCAGGAGUGGUGGUGGUGACAGCUCCUGCAGGAGUGGUGGUAGUGACAGCUGCUGCAGGAGUGGUGGUGGUGACAGCUGCUGCAGGAGUGGUGGUAGUGACAGCUGCUGCAGGAGUGGUGGUGGUGACAGCUGCUGCAGGAGUGGUGGUGGUGACAGCUGCUGCAGGAGUGGUGGUGGUGACAGCUGCUGCAGGAGUGGUGGUGGUGACAGCUGCUGCAGGAGUGGUGGUGGUGACAGCUGCUGCAGGAGUGGUGGUGGUGACAGCUGCUGCAGGAGUGGUGGUGGUGACAGCUGCUGGAGGAGUGGUGGUGGUACCAGCUGCUGCAGGAGUGGUGGUGGUACCAGCUGCUGGAGGAGUGGUGGUGGUACCAGCUGCUGGAGGAGUGGUGGUGGUACCAGCUGCUGGAGGAGUGGUGGUGGUACCAGCUGCUGGAGGACUGGUGGUGGUGACAGCUGCUGGAGUGGUGGUGGUACCAGCUGCUGGAGGAGUGGUGGUGGUAACAGCUGCUGCAGGAGUGGUGGUGGUGACUGCUGCUACUGGAGUGGUGGUGGUGACAGCUGCUGCAGGAGUGGUGGUGGUGACAGCUGCUGCAGGAGUGGUGGUAGUGACAGCUGCUGGAGGAGUGGUGGUGGUGACAGCGGCUGCAGGGGUGGUGGUGGUGACAGCUGCUGCAGGGGUGGUGGUGGUGACAGCUGCUGCAGGGGCGGUAGUGGUGAGAGGUGCUGCAUGAGUGGUGGUGGUGAGAGGUGCUGCAGGGGCGGUGGUGGUGAGAGGUGCUGCAUGAGUGGUGGUGGUGACAGCUGCUGCAGGGAGGGUGGUGGUGACAGCUGCUGCAGGGGCGGUAGUGGUGAGAGGUGCUGCAGAAGUGGUGGUGAGAGGUGCUGCAGGGGCGGUAGUAGUGAGAGGUGCUGCAUGAGUGGUGGUGGUGACAGCUGCUGCAGGGGGUAGUGGUGAGAGGUGCUGCAGGGGCAGUGGUGGUGACAGCUGCUGCAGGGGCGGUGGUGGUGAGAGGUGCUGCAGGGGCGGUAGUAGUGAGAGGUGCUGCAUGAGUGGUGGUGGUGACAGCUGCUGCAGGGGCGGUAGUGGUGAGAGGUGCUGCAGAAGUGGUGGUGAGAGGUGCUGCAGGGGCGGUAGUAGUGAGAGGUGCUGCAUGAGUGGUGGUGGUGACAGCUGCUGCAGGGGCGGUAGUGGUGAGAGGUGCUGCAGGGGCGGUGGUGGUGAGAGGUGCUGCAGGAGUGGUGGUGGUGACAGCUGCUGCAGGGGCGGUAGUGGUGAGAGGUGCUGCAGAAGUGGUG